rnacentral:rRNA from 1 species
GAACGCUGGCGGCGGCCUAACACAUGCAAGUCGAACGGUAACAUUUCUAGCUUGCUAGAAGAUGACGAGUGGCGGACGGGUGAGUAAUGCUUGGGAGCUUGCCUUUGCGAGGGGGAUAACAGUUGGAAACGACUGCUAAUACCGCAUAAUGUCUACGGACCAAACGGGGCUUAGGCUCCGGCGCAAAGAGAGGCCCAAGUGAGAUUAGCUAGUUGGUAAGGUAACGGCUUACCAAGGCAACGAUCUCUAGCUGUUCUGAGAGGAAGAUCAGCCACACUGGGACUGAGACACGGCCCAGACUCCUACGGGAGGCAGCAGUGGGGAAUAUUGCACAAUGGGGGAAACCCUGAUGCAGCCAUGCCGCGUGUGUGAAGAAGGCCUUCGGGUUGUAAAGCACUUUCAGUUGUGAGGAAAAGUUAGUAGUUAAUACCUGCUAGCCGUGACGUUAACAACAGAAGAAGCACCGGCUAACUCCGUGCCAGCAGCCGCGGUAAUACGGAGGGUGCGAGCGUUAAUCGGAAUUACUGGGCGUAAAGCGCACGCAGGCGGUUUGUUAAGCUAGAUGUGAAAGCCCCGGGCU